rnacentral:rRNA from 1 species
GACGAACGCUGGCGGCGUGCUUAACACAUGCAAGUCGAACGGAAAGGCCCUGCUUUCGUGGGGUGCUCGAGUGGCGAACGGGUGAGUAACACGUGAGUAACCUGCCCUUGACUUUGGGAUAACUUCAGGAAACUGGGGCUAAUACCGGAUAGGAGCUCCUGCUGCAUGGUGGGGGUUGGAAAGUUUCGGCGGUUGGGGAUGGACUCGCGGCUUAUCAGCUUGUUGGUGGGGUAGUGGCUUACCAAGGCUUUGACGGGUAGCCGGCCUGAGAGGGUGACCGGCCACAUUGGGACUGAGAUACGGCCCAGACUCCUACGGGAGGCACCAGUGGGGAAUAUUGCACAAUGGGCGGAAGCCUGAUGCAGCAACGCCGCGUGCGGGAUGACGGCCUUCGGGUUGUAAACCGCUUUCGCCUGUGACGAAGCGUGAGUGACGGUAAUGGGUAAAGAAGCACCGGCUAACUACGUG